GAUGAACGCUGGCGGACGUGCCUAAUACAUGCAAGCGAACGAAUCCUUUUAGAGAUGAGUGGCGAACGGGUGAGUAAUACAUAGGUAACCUGCCCCUGUGCGGGGGAGUAACAGGAGGAAACUCCUGCUAAUACCGCAUAGCCAUGAGCACCGCAUGGAGCUCAUGCCAAAUAUCCUUUCGGGGAUAGCGCAGGGGAUGGACCUAUGGCGCAUUAGCUAGUUGGCGGGGCAACGGCCCACCAAGGCAACGAUGCGUAGCCGGCCUGAGAGGGCGGACGGCCACAUUGGGACUGAGACACGGCCCAGACUCCUACGGGAGGCAGCAGUAGGGAAUUUUCGGCAAUGGGGGGAAACCCUGACCGAGCAACGCCGCGUGAGCGAAGAAGGCCUUCGGGUCGUAAAGCUCUGUUGUAAAGGAAGAACGGCGCAUACAGGAAAUGGUAUGCGAGUGACGGUACUUUACCAGAAAGCCACGGCUAACUACGUG
rnacentral:rRNA from 1 species